rnacentral:rRNA from 1 species
UACAGAGGGGGCAAGCGUUGUUCGGAAUUACUGGGCGUAAAGGGCGCGUAGGCGGCCUUCUAAGUCGAACGUGAAAUCCCCGGGCUCAACCCGGGAACUGCGUCCGAUACUGGAAGGCUUGAAUCCGGGAGAGGGAUGCGGAAUUCCAGGUGUAGCGGUGAAAUGCGUAGAUAUCUGGAGGAACACCGGUGGCGAAGGCGGCAUCCUGGACCAAUACUGACGCUGAGGAGCGAAAGCCAGGGGAGCAAACGGG